AGGACCUCGGAGGGCUGCCCACAGCGCG
rnacentral:misc_RNA from 1 species